GGCGUCUGGGUGACCACCGCUUUUAACAGAUCUUCACUGAAAACCUGCUUCCCAGUGGCGUUAGAGGAAAGGACUGGGAGCCAGUGUGCCUGAGUUUCUUACAACCAUGCUACUUACUUCCUGGGUGGCGCUGAACAAGGGAAUUAGGCCAAGACUUGCAGAGAUGCUAGGCACUCAUGUCUCCAUUUGAAGUCAGUGGCAGCUGCAGGAAUAACAAUGGGACUGUUUGGAUGACUAAGGGCUGAGGGAUCAACUCUGCUGUCAGGUCAGAUCUGGACCAAAAUCAAAAGAUCAGAAAUCAGGAAUUUGACCAGCAAACCAACUGCAUUUUGUGAAAAAAAGAAGGAAAAGCAAGGAAAGGGAGAUAAAAGAGAAGAAAAAGUAACACACAGAACCAAUCAAAGGGGGGAAAGGAAUAUGAAAUACCUCCUGAAUCUUCUAGCACUGGUCAAAUAGUUACUCCAGGAUGACUGCUAGUGAUGGACAGAUCCUUAUUUGUAAGUAUUUAAUGUUUCUUAGGAAGCACUUCUAAAAGAAAUUGGUAUGUAAUGACAGCACUCACUGGAAAACAGGCCGAUUAGAAAAUGCACUAACUUAUCUGGUAUUCAUUUGAAAAGUAAAUGGAUGCAAGUAAAGGUGAGAGUUCACUACCAAUUCAAAUAUUUUGCUUUAACAGGCACUCGCACUCCUGCUUUAAUUCAAGCAGAAACACAAGUAUGAAUAAUCAAACUGGAUGAUGCU